rnacentral:rRNA from 1 species
AUUGAACGCUGGCGGCAGGCCUAACACAUGCAAGUCGAGCGGAGCGGCGGACGGGUGAGUAAUGCCUAGGAAUCUGCCUGGUAGUGGGGGAUAACGUCCGGAUACGGGCGCUAAUUCCGCAUACUAUCAGACGAGCCAAGGUAGGAUGAGCUAGUUGGUGGGUUAAAGGCCUACCAAGGCGACGAUCCGUAACUGGUCUGAGAGGAUGAUCAGUCACACUGGAACUGAGACACGGCCCAGACUCCUACGGGAGGCAGCAGUGGGGAAUAUUGGACAAUGGGCGAAAGCCUGAUGCAGCCAUGCCGCGUGUAUGAAGAAGGUCUUCGGAUUGUAAAGCACUUUAAGUUGGGAGGCGUUACCAACAGAAUAAGCACCGGCUAACUUCGUGCCAGCAGCCGCGGUAAUAC